UACGUAGGAUCCGAGCGUUGUCCGGAUUUACUGGGUGUAAAGGGUGCGCAGGCGGACUGGUAAGUCAGAGGUGAAAUCUCGUCGCUCAACGACGAAACUGCCUUUGAUACUAUCAGUCUUGAAUCCGGUAGAGAUCUGUGGAAUUCCGAGUGUAGCAGUGAAAUGUGUAGAUAUUCGGAAGAACACCAGUGGCAAAGGCAGCAGAUUGGGCCGGUAUUGACGCUCAGGCACGAAAGCAUGGGGAUCAAACAGG
rnacentral:rRNA from 1 species